AGUGAACGCUGGCGGUAGGCCUAACACAUGCAAGUCGAACGGCAGCACAGUAAGAGCUUGCUCUUACGGGUGGCGAGUGGCGGACGGGUGAGGAAUACAUCGGAAUCUACUUUUUCGUGGGGGAUAACGUAGGGAAACUUACGCUAAUACCGCAUACGGCCUACGGGUGAAAGCAGGGGAUCUUCUGACCUUGCGCGAUUGAAUUAGCCGAUGUCGGAUUAGCUAGUUGGCGGGGUAAAGGCCCACCAAGGCGACGAUCCGUAGCUGGUCUGAGAGGAUGAUCAGCCACACUGGAACUGAGACACGGUCCAGACUCCUACGGGAGGCAGCAGUGGGGAAUAUUGGACAAUGGGCGCAAGCCUGAUCCAGCCAUACCGCGUGGGUGAAGAAGGCCUUCGGGUUGUAAAGCCCUUUUGUUGGGAAAGAAAAGCAGCAGGUUAAUACCCCGCUGUUCUGACGGUACCCAAAGAAUAAGCACCGGCUAACUUCGUG
rnacentral:rRNA from 1 species